GCUAUCGUAGCUUAACAAAAGCAUGACACUGAAGACGUCAAGAUAGGUUUGAGCAGAACCUCGAAAGCA
rnacentral:tRNA from 2 species